ACACCAUCAACAGACGCAAGAUCUUUUUCUAUCAAUUGGCAUUCUUAAUUUUCCUUUGCAAUGGACAAAGCCAGCGCAUUGGAGUACAUCAAUCAGAUGUUCCCUACUGAGGCAUCUUUAUCUGGCGUUGAGCCACUUAUGCAAAAGAUACAUAGUGAGAUACGCCAUGUUGAUGCUGGAAUACUAGCUGCUGUUCGCCAACAGAGCAAUUCCAGAACCAAGGCCAAGGAAGAUCUUGCUGCCGCUACUCAUGCUGUAGAGGAACUCAUGUACAAGAUACGAGAAAUAAAAACCAAAGCUGAGCAGAGUGAGACAAUGGUUCAGGAAAUAUGCCGUGACAUUAAGAAGUUGGACUUUGCAAAGAAGCAUAUAACAACUACUAUUACUGCUCUUCAUCGUCUGACCAUGUUGGU
rnacentral:misc_RNA from 1 species